rnacentral:misc_RNA from 1 species
GUAGGUGAACCUGCGGAAGGAUCAUUAUCGAGUUUAGGGUCCUCUGGGCCCAAAAUCUCCCAAACCCCAUGUUUAACCAUCCUGUUGCUUUGGCGGGCCUUGAGUAGGCUAUACGGCUCAUGCCGGCCCCAGGCUUUGUUGCCUGGGGGCGGCUCGCGCCCGCCAGAGGUUUAAAUCAAAUCCUAUUAUCAGUGAUGUCCGAGUAAAUAUUAAAUAAUCAAAACUUUCAACAACGGAUCUCUUGGUUCUG